rnacentral:rRNA from 1 species
UACGAGGGGUGCAAGCGUUGCUCGGAAUUAUUGGGCGUAAAGGGUAGGUAGGUGGUCUCAUUUGUCUGGGGUGAAAGCCCAGGGCUUAACCCUGGAAGUGCCCCAGAAACGGUGAGACUUUUGAGUCCUGGAGAGGGUCGUGGAAUUCCCGGUGUAGCGGUGAAAUGCGUAGAGAUCGGGAGGAACACCUGCGGCGAAGGCGGCUCUCUGGUACGUGACUGACGCUGAGACGCGAAAGCGUGGGGAGCGAACAGG